rnacentral:lncRNA from 1 species
ACUGACUGACUGACUGACUUUUAUACUGCUACUCGCAAUCGGUCUUCACACUCAUGCCGAAGUGUUCUCAACUGUGCGGAUUGAGGUAGAGAAUUUGGAUUUGCAUACACACACGCAACGCGGCACCCAGUUCUACGCAUGCGCUCAACCCAUGUGGCCCAGUGAUGCUGGUGGCAAUACGAUACAACGACCUACGGUACACACCCAGUCGGAUGAACUCUACCCAUUACUGUGAUGGACGUGGAGUAUACUUUUUUUGUUAAUAAAUAACACCUUUUGGAAGUGUAUAAUGCGUCCACUCUCACUGAUUGCUAUUAACUCAUUGCAUGGCUUAAGAGGUAUGCGGAAAAUAGUUGCACAGUUGGAGUCAGGCUUUUAGCUAGGAUUUUUUGUACAGCACUUGAUCGUUUUUAGGUAAUAUUGCAAUUACACUGAUUUAUUUAUAUGUUUAGUAAUUUAAUACAUAAUAACAGUGAGUGUAACUGAAACUAGGUAACAAGGUACAAAAUUCAAGUAACAACUUUAACAAAAAGAAACAACUUUCUACACAACUUUAAAGUGUAUGAUGUAUAUUAUAUUGUAUUGAAUUUAGAUUAAUUAAGACCACCACCUUAACACACAAACUCUUGUUGAACUCAUAAAGUAGUAGGUUCAGUGACGUGCGGUGAGACAGCUGUCUUCUGUAGCUUCUGCGAGCCCGUGAAUCAAUGUUUCGUUGGAAUCAUGAUGUAACGUUGUUGUAGCGGGAAUACAGCAAUGCUAUUUUCUAAUUGGCAGGGCAUAUGUAUGAUUCUAGACUUCGCUAAGCACUGAAGCGACUGAAACUGUGAAUUUUGAUCACAUUCAGCGAAGUUAACAGGUAAAAUGGGAGAAAAAUAGGGCGUCUUUACUUUAGGCCGUCCUGCCUAAAAGUAGGGCGUCCCAUUUCUUCUUAUUCUUUAGUAGACUAUAGGGCAGACGCCCUGCUAGCUAAAAGCCUGGUUGGUGUAGACAUUCGAGAGACCAAAAAGACUGAAAAGGUGUGUUAUCGAAUUUAGUGGGCCGGUCUGGUUCAAAAUGCCCGGGCCGAUUUUUUGUCCCAGUCCGCCCCUGGCCAAACGUCAUUGAGCCUCUGACUUGAUCCGCCAAACGUCAUGGAGCCUCUGUGUACUAUCAAUCAAUUCAGAUCAAUCAAUUGAAUCAUGCAAAUCCUUCUGUUCCUCAGCCUUCCGCG